UAAUGGGUAACAAUAUUUUUGCUUGCUUAUAUGUCAGCUCGAGAAAAAAUAUCUAUGAUACAGUUGUUCAUCGCGAUAGUUUCUGGGUAAUAUUUCUUCCUAAGAAAUAGUUAGGGUGAGAGGCCUACAUAUUGAUCAAUAUCAGUAUAUGAAGAAAGUGGCCUGGACCGAUUGCAAUUCUGGUUAUUGCACUGGAGUUGCCUUGUGGACAGACAGCAAUGCAAGAUGUGUGUACGUGCAUGUAGGGGUGUUUGGGUGCGCGUGUGUGAGAAGCUUUGUCUGCUUGCUGCAAGCUCUUACCAUCAAAGCAGCUAAUAUUAGCAUGUCACCCAAGACAUGCUCUAUUUGGACACAAAGCAAGUGAUAAAUGAGUGUAGCUGUCCUCUCUCACCCGUGCUAUAGCUUUUUAUGUGUGUGCGUCUAUUUGUGUCUACGUGGGAGCAAUCGCACACAAAUAUGUGUCAACAGCAAGGGUAAUUUAAAAACUGGUAACGUCAGUGAUUUUUGAGCACCAGAGUGUAGGGGGCGUUCCAUCAUUCCAGAUGCGAUUUUCUGUACUUAAAUGCAGCUGCAUGAAGAAGACAGCGCCCAAUGUGGAACCUGGCCAAAGAGGCUUCCAGAUAAGCUAGGAUGCAGACACACCCAGUCGGUCAGGCAGCCAGGUCGGGAGGACAAGAAGAAUAGAAAAGGGCAGUGUGAUCUCAAACACUUGCGUUCCUCACUCGCCCCUCACCCCCUCCCAAGUCUCUGUUUGCCUCCGUCGCUGAUUUGAGGCUACAGUUGGUUGUAUGUCACCACUCUCCCUUUCUGCUCCAUCUGUCCCUCCCCCAUCAUCUCUCCUCUUUCUCCCCCUUUUCUCUUCAUUUCUCCCUUCUCUCUGUCUCCCUCUCUCCGCACCAAAGCCUGGGGGAGCCAAUGGAGAUUAUAUGUAGCCUCUAUAAGCCAAAGCACAUCAUGUAGCAAUGUUUCUUCGGCCCCAUCUCACUUGCACGCUGUCGGCUUCUCCUUCAGUCUCUGAAGGGAUAACGGGAUUGAUGUCGGCCCACAGGAGAACAGAAAGAACGUAGGGGAGAAAGAAAAAGGAAACAUAUCGAGUUUGCAGAAGGGAGCAGAGGAUUUCCUUCAAGGGCGCAAAACUGACAAUGGCAAGGUGGAAAAAAAACAAGCAAAGGUCCACCCCUUUCUACUCCUCCCUCUCAGUUUACCUCUCUCGCUCACUCAUCUGAUAUGGAAGUAAGAGCGAGCCUCAAGCUGUAACUGAUUACAGCUGUGGGACAAAUUCAUGGAUGAUAUUUCUCCUCCCUUUCUCUGUUUGUUUCAUGUUUCCUCUCUUGCCAAAAGAAAAUCGCCUCUCCUUUCCGCUUUGAAUAGAAAAAGCAGAAAAUAAAUUGGUUUAGUCCUGUUCCUUGUAUGUAUUGACAAGUGUAUGUGUGCGUCUGUGUCCAACCUGCUCUUUAAACCCUCAAGUUCAAACACAAAAUUGGUGUAGACGCGGGUGCAUUGAAGGUAAAAGAAAAGUCCCCACUCCCCCCACUUCCACCUCUUCUUACCGCUCAGUUAGUGAGGUUGCAUACUGGAAUGCUUCACUGGCACUGGGCACCCGGCUUCAAGCGCUCAUGCUGUUGCUUGAUGGUCGUUCACUUUGACGCCCCCUUUUUUAACAUCUGACGCUUGCGUAUCACUUCCACCUAUUUUCCAGAGAGAGGAAUUACAUCGCUUACUCUAGAGAGAGAGAGAGAGAGAGAGAGAGAGAGAGAGAGAGUGUGUACACAUGGUUCAUUCCGGCUCGGUCUACCACCCAUCUUAUGCCUCUCUUGCCUCUGCCAUCACUCUCCUUCCUUUUAUUCUGUCCAAUUGUGAGCUGUGGGCUUAAAACCAUGAUUCUUCUUUGGGUGAAGUCAUGAUUAUUUAAACCAAAACAAACUGUUGAUGCUACCUGGAAUCUUCUUGCUGUGCUGCUGUAACUUCAAAUCUGAGCUUUCUCUCUCUGCCUGUUUUUCUUCUUCCUCUUCUGAGCAGGCGAGUGAGCGAGGAGACAAACAAGCGGGAGUCUCCUAGUCUGAAAAGGAGGACCAACUUGAAGAGAAUUCUUCCGGCCGCUAGGGGGCAGCGCUUGCCUGCGUUGACGUUGCUCCUACUGGUAGGGGCGGGAGAAGGAGUAGAUCUUCUUCUUCUUUUUUGUUGGCAGUUCACCCUUUGUUUCAUGGGGAAUUACCACCAUCUACUGACGGUUUGGCGAGAGCUCAGACUACAGUAAGGAGUUCAAUAAGAAGUUCUAAAAGACGUGGCUCCAUACACCUUUCUACAGAUAACUACGGAACCAGUCUAGUGCUAGGCCUCUAAUCCCAUAAUGCUGCAGUUUAUUGGUGAGUAUUUCAGUCUUAAUGGUGUCAAAUGCUUUGGACAGGUCCAAAAAAAUGCCAACUCCGUAGUCACUUUUGUCAAUUGCAUCGUAGACUUUUUCCGUCAAGUCAAGUACUGCCAUAAGUGUAGUAUUUUCCUUUCUGAAUCUGUACUGUGAUGGGACAACAUUUUCAUGAUGAUAAUACAUACUCAGCAGAAAAACAGCACAUUAUUUGCAAUUAAUUAAACUCUCCUGGAUGCCACAAAUUGUAUGUAAAAUGUUUUCCAAGACUUUAGGAAGACACCAAGUCACCACGCUAAAAGCUAAUGCUAAUGCUAAAGUGUGUGAUGAUCACUCAGCACAGACCUUUAAAGUAUAAAGCAACAUUAAAUGUGUAGCCAAGAUAAGAAAGCAGAACUUACCAAGCAGCACCUGAUACAUAUGUUUCACAAAAGAAGCCUGGAAUGGGCACAGGCUUACCGUGUGUGUGGGGCGGGGGGCUUCACAUCACAUGAGUGACACGACAAAACACUGCUAAAUGCGUGGUAACUAUACAUACAUUAAGAGAAUAUCACACAUUGUGAAUUCAUGAUGGAAACUAUGGCAAAUUUUCAUCUCGUUCUCGUGUCGUCAGACGACAACUGGAAUCCAUAUCAUUAUGUUUUAGUCUCCCAAGACAUGUUUUCGGUGCACCAUCAUGACGUCAUCGUCAUGAAAAAACUGUUGGUUGACAAAAUAUUUUCAUUAUCGUCAUCGUUGACGAAAACAACACUGCUCCCCAUCUAUACAGUGAAUGGGUUGCCUCGCAACAUUUCACACCGGACAUUAGCCGAAAUGAGAGAAACCAUAAGUUAUGAAUUUUAAUUCAUAAUCAUUCAUGUAAAGGAGAAGAUGUAAGAUUAAUUUAAUAUCAGUGAUCAGUGUUGCAAUGUAAAUUAAUCAGUAACUUUUUAAUGUGUUGCCCUCACUUCAUUGGUCCUUUUAGAUCGACUUGAGUUUGGACUGGCUUGGAGUGGCUGUCCUUUUUCUGCUUGCUUAAAUUUGCACAGUGUUUUAACUAUAACAUCCUCUAGUAACCAUAGUAACCAGAUCUUACUACUGCUGUUUUCCCUGUUUUACUCCCCCCCUGCAGGAAAAUGACAGUUAUAUCUGAACUCUGUACCCUGUCUUUAUUUCUUCUAUCCUUACAGCUCUUGUCGCCUCCAUCUAUGAUCCUCUUUUCCUCUUCCUCUGACACACUCUUUUUCAUUUUUUCCUUUUCUUACACCCUUGGCCGCCUUGCGUCUCAUAGCUUAAUCUGUGCUUGCUGAGCUGCUGAGUGCUGCACACGCAGAACACGGGGUCACUAUGAGUUUAUGCUUGUAUUUACAUUGCUUGCUGCUGUCAGAACUGAGGAAUAGGGCUUGGCUGAAAUACAAUUAUCAUAUGACAACAGGCACAUUUUCUUCGUACCCUCUUUGCAUCCCAUAUGGAUUGCCUCGAUUCGGUUGCCUGUGCAAUUGUUAUACGGACGGCUCCUCCAUCAAACACAACCUGAUAGCCUCCUUGUCGUUAAAGUUUUAGGGGCAACUUUGAACAUUCUCUUCAGCAGCACAUAAUAUAUCAUCAAAGAUGGGAUUAAAACUUUUUUUCCCCUUCUGUCUUUUUUUCAUGGUCUUGGCUGUUGAAAGAGUUGAGCUGGAAGAUUUAAGCUUAUUAGCUUAAAGAACAGGGCAAGGCAGUUUUGAACUGAUGUAUGGCAGACUUCAAAGAUGGCUUAAUCUCUCAGUACACAUGCCCUAUACAGGCUAUUUAUAUUUAAAAGCAAUGUUUCUUCCAAAAGACUUCCUCUUGCUACGCGAUAACAGCUCUGGGUUUUAUUAUUCCUGCUAUGUCUAGACAGCAGAGACUUACCCACUGAGCGUUCUCCUUUCUAGUAAUGAAAUCACAUAAAGUGGACAAAAAAGUAUACACCCACUUGUUACCUUUAUCUUAUAGAAUUCAUUGAGAGGGGGUCAGGGAAAAUCAUGAAGCCAUGUAAUGUGGUUGAGCAGGAAUGCUUGCGCCUUCUAACAAUUGAGAGGUACUUAUUGUGUAUUAUAUUUGACAACAAUUUGCCAUCCUUUGAGCCUGUGAGGUAGGGUGGCAAGACAGAAGCCUUAGAUUUUGCAAAAUUAUCUGUGAAAACCUAGGCUAAAAUUUUUUUACCAUCCUAAUUUUGAUUCCUGUUAUCAUCUAUGGAAGCCCAAUCCUGCCAUAGUUAUCUUCAAAAGUGGAGGUAUCUGCAAGGAAAGAAGUCCUUGUAAGCCUGCGGGUAUUACAACAAUACUUAAAGCCCACAUUAUAUCUUUUUAACCCAAGUUAAAAACGUUUUAUUAUCAUCUAUAAGUCACAAUGUGCAAAUGAGUAUGUUGCCAAAACCUCAAGGCUUUGCUGUGUAGUCGGAGCCCUUUGCAAAACAACUCCCCAUAGUAAAAAUUUGCUACUCAUCUGUUGCUUAAUCUUGUCAAGUGAGACAAAUUUGAUCGUCUCAACUUUAUCUUAUUCUUUGCUUAUUUGUUUCUAAGUUUGUGCUGAGUGAUGAGUCAAAAUGAGCAAAGACAUAAUUGAGACAAUGGAGAUUAAUUUGAGCAGAGGAAUUCUCAUAAUUGAAAAUAGAGUUACACUUGUAUAGCAACUUUCAGGCACUCAAAGCAAUUUGACACUAUAUCCUCAUCUACCUACAGGUGACUCAGCAACGUGGAGUUUAUUGUCUCGCUCAAGGAUAUUAAAUGAGUUCAUCAGGACAGAGACUCAAACUCACAACCUCUGGGUUAUGGAACAAAUACUCUACCACUGAACCACGCACGGGCUCAGAUGCACUGUACUCGAUGUGACGCAACAUAUCAAUGAAAAGCAAGUUCAGAAUGAGCAUAUAGCAGCGAUAAAGCAAAAUUGUUUUAUUUCUCUUCAUUUAAUAAUUGAUAUAUUUCUUUGAGAGUUCAAAAAAACUUCCUAAUCGCGAACGUUGCCUGUGAGCUAGUAGUUUUAGCGAGACAGUGUCAGCCAGCGUGUUGCUUCUCGGCAUCAAACAAGAGGACAAAGGUUCUGCACACUAUUUGGUGGUAAACCUUCAGUCUUCAAAACCAAAAACCCAUAAUGCAUUUGUAGCGGCCAAUAGUUUACGGCACCAAAUUUUUGAUCACAUCUGUAAUUUUUACGUUGAAUCAGAUGAACCAGAUGUUUUUUAAUGAUUUCAUUCAUUCAUUUUCCCAGCCGCUGAUCCUCAUCUGACCGAUUAUACUAUUUUUUUCAGAUUUUGGCACAAAGAUGAAUUAAGAUGUAAUCGGACAUGUCAGAGCAGACAUUACUCUUUCUUACAAUAAAAGAAUCUUGAGAACCCCAAAUGAGCAACUGCAGACUGGAAGGAGAUCAAACUGAGAAAUAUUUGUGAUUGGCACAAUACUGUAUAUGGUUGUUUGGCGACAUCAGGAAUGAAGCAGCUGUGAGCCAAGAAAUAACAUACUUUUCUUAUCCAUAUCUUCACUGAGACAUGACUGAGAUUGUGAGUCCAAGUAAGGAGAUCAAAUUGAGACGCAUUUAAGGUCAGCACAAGAUCUCAUAGUUUUCUCUUGGUGAAAUCUUGAAGGGAGAGAGCUUUGAGACUUAUUCGAGAAAUCGUGCUAGGAGAAGUAUUCCCAAGACCUUCUCAAGUAAUGCUCACUGUGAGACUUACUUCUCACAAACAAAUUUGAGAAAACUGAGAAAACCACUCUGUCUCGAUUAUUGCUGAUUCACUGGUCAGACAUGUAAAUGAGACAUAAAUAAGAUCUCAUCUUCAUUUUUGCUUUGCUAUGGGUCGUGUUUUGAUGAUACCUCCUGAUAGAAUGAUUGAUAUCCUGCUAAGCGAAUCAUGUGAUUAGUAUUUUAAUUCACAAGGGAAGGUUUGAUGCCUCAGUCUAGCAAACCUGUUUGGCGUUGCCAGAGCAGCCUGCAAUCAUAUUAACUUUGGCCCGGUGCUUUCCCCUGGUUGUUAACCAAUUUAUCAAAGAAAGUCAACAUUUUACUUUUGUUUUCUUCCGGCCACAAAUUUGAGUUUGUUGGCAAAACCUGCCGUAGCUCCAGGACAUUGCCUUCGUCAAUAAAAUAAUCCAUCUCUAAGGGAUAGGCGCUGCCACAGUUUUUACAUGUAAUAGAUGAAACACACUGCAGUAGUUUUGGAGACACACUACUGAAGCUGAUGCCUAAUGGCUUUAGGUAGCCGCACGACUUAGCGCCGACAGGCACGUCUGCUCGGAUUCCCCCGGCCUGGUCAUACACUGCGCCACUUUGCUUUGUAAUUAUUUGGUUGGCUUUCCAACAACAAUUGACCCCGGAAGAAGAAAGAUUCAACCAAUCAGAAGAGGGCGAUUUUGGUGGAAGUUCAACAUGUCUAUGCAGGGGUUGUCACUACCCGAUCAUGACAGGCUACUGGAUCGUGACGGAUUGCCACUGCCAAUGCGUGAGCUGACGCCAUUUUCGUAUAUUUAGAUGUAUGUACGUUAUAGAUUAAAUAAUGAAUAUACAUUUUUCUUUCUUUUUUUUUUGUGAUAAUGAUCACUGAAGUGUUUAUCUAGGAUGAGGGGAGACAAAGACUGUUUAAACUACACUUUAAAUUCUUGAAAGACAUUAAUUUUAUGUAUAGAUCAUAAGGGUGAAUGUAUGGGCGCUGCAUAUUCCUGUGCACUAGAUGGGGGUAUGCCCCUGAAAGUUGAUUGCAUUGAGAAGUGACAGCAGUGCGCAAACGGCGGAAGAGUGGGCUUUGUGACCUAUCCCUCUGUCGUGUUUAAGGGGAAACUGAGUGGCAUGCCUAAAAAGUUCAAGUUUUUUAAUUUUUUAAAAUACUUUUUUUCAAUGUAAUAUUUUAUUUUGUCACUAUCAAUCUUUUCAAUAUGUACAGUGCCUUGCAAAAGUAUUCGGCCCCCUUGAACCUUGCAACCUUUCGCCACAUUUCAGGCUUCAAACAUAAAGAUAUAA